CAUGCAGGCGGUCGGACGCGUUUUGUGUGACAGCGGGUGGCUUAACUACCCGAGUAUGCGAAAGACGGUUCGACUUGAGGGCUCGAGAGGGACACGGAAUUCCGGGUGGAGUGGUGAAAUGCGUAGAGAUCCGGAGGAACACCGAAGGCGAAGGCAGUGUCCUGGCGAGUGACUGACGCUGAGGUGCGAAAGCUAGGGGAGCGAACGGGAUUAGAUACCCCGGUAGUCCUAGCCGUAAACGAUGACCACCAGGUGUGGGAGGUAUCGACCCCUUCCGUGCCGGAGUAAACACACUAAGUGGUCCGCCUGGGGAGUACGGUCGCAAGAUUAAA
rnacentral:rRNA from 1 species